GGAUAGGGUUGGCCACAGAAGCAAUCCAAGAACUAAUGGCGGUCACUUCUCUCCAUCAUAGAAGCUAAAAGAACUGGAGCUACAGACAGUUGUGAAUAACCAUUUGGGUCCUGGGAAUUGAACCUGUGUCCUCUGGAAGACCAGGCAGUGCCCUUAACUG